GGGAUGAGGGGCAUUGGUGGUCAGGUCUGUCUUGAACAGCUGGAGGGAAGACGUAGGGGUGGGAAGCAGUCAGGCAGAAAGAGUUCCAGGUUCUGGUGUUGCCCACCCAGCCGUCCCGUGCUCACUCGUGACACCUUUCCUGCACUGUAGCCUCUUGCUCCUCCGACUCUAGUGGGAACAGGCCCUAGCUCAGCCUCCGGCAGGGAGGUUACCCCGACUCCUUCAGCUUGCCCUGACCUCCUAUUGUAAUCCCUGAGCUUCGAAGCCUCUUGCCCCAGCCCUGUGGCUUCCCCAGAAGCCUCAGCUUAGGGUGGAGAAGCCGUCUACACACAACCCUGGCUCUCCACCUGCCUCUGGGCCAUGCAAUGGAAAUUCCAGCAGCAAGCCAGGCACUGGGCUGAAGCUGGGCCUUCCGCCUCCCUUGGAUGGGGUCCAGAGGCCAGGCCUGGCACAUUUUGGAGUGUUCUGGCUACCAGCUGUCACCCACACCCAUGCAUCCCCACACUAUGCUCUCUUAAGAAUGUAAUUUAUUGGGGCCCCCCCAGCUGCUUUCUUCACCUGCCCCUGCCCUACCUGACACCCCCAGCUUGACUUCUCUCCAGUCCACAUGUGUAUAUAAUGAUAUCUAUAUUUUUGCCUAGGUCUGGGUAUUGCUCUUGUCCAGACCCUGGCAUCCCUUUCCACUGUGUGUGUGACCAUGCUGGGGGAGGGGGACUCUGCUUGGAAUUAAAAGGUUGCAUUGGGUCCCUA